rnacentral:rRNA from 1 species
GACGUAGGGUCCGAGCGUUGCCCGGAAUUAUUGGGCGUAAAGAGCUCGUAGGCGGCUUGUCGCGUCGACUGUGAAAACCCGCAGCUCAACUGCGGGCCUGCAGUCGAUACGGGCAGGCUAGAGUUCGGUAGGGGAGACUGGAAUUCCUGGUGUAGCGGUGAAAUGCGCAGAUAUCAGGAGGAACACCGAUGGCGAAGGCAGGUCUCUGGGCCGAUACUGACGCUGAGGAGCGAAAGCGUGGGGAGCGAACAGG